rnacentral:rRNA from 3 species
UGUCUCAAAGAUUAAGCCAUGCAUGUCUAAGUAUAAGCAAUUAUACAGCGAAACUGCGAAUGGCUCAUUAUAUAAGUUAUCGUUUAUUUGAUAGUACCUUACUACUUGGAUAACCGUGGUAAUUCUAGAGCUAAUACAUGCUAAAAAUCCCGACUCACGAAGGGAUGUAUUUAUUAGAUUAAAAACCAAUGCCCUCUGGGCUCCUUGGUGAUUCAUAAUAACUUGUCGAAUCGCAUGGCCUUGCGCCGGCGAUGGUUCAUUCAAAUUUCUUCCCUAUCAACUUUCGAUGUUUGGGUAUUGGCCAAACAUGGUCGCAACGGGUAACGGAGGGUUAGGGCUCGACCCCGGAGAAGGAGCCUGAGAAACGGCUACUACAUCCAAGGAAGGCAGCAGGCGCGCAAAUUACCCAAUCCCGAUUCGGGGAGGUAGUGACAAUAAAUACUGAUACAGGGCUCUUUUGGGUCUUGUAAUUGGAAUGAGUACAAUUUAAAUCUCUUAACGAGGAACAAUUGGAGGGCAAGUCUGGUGCCAGCAGCCGCGGUAAUUCCAGCUCCAAUAGCGUAUAUUAAAGUUGUUGUGGUUAAAAAGCUCGUAGUUGAACCUUGGGCCCGGCCGAACGGUCCGUCUCACCACGUUGACUGGUCUGGCUGGGCCUUUCCCUCUGUGGAACCCCAUGCCCUUCACUGGGUGUGGCGGGGAAACAGGACUUUUACUUUGAAAAAAUUAGAGUGCUCCAGGCAGGCCUAUGCUCGAAUACAUUAGCAUGGAAUAAUGAAAUAGGACGUGUGGUUCUAUUUUGUUGGUUUCUAGGACCGCCGUAAUGAUUAAUAGGGACAGUCGGGGGCAUCAGUAUUCAAUUGUCAGAGGUGAAAUUCUUGGAUUUAUUGAAGACUAACUACUGCGAAAGCAUUUGCCAAGGAUGUUUUCAUUAAUCAGGAACGAAAGUUAGGGGAUCGAAGACGAUCAGAUACCGUCGUAGUCUUAACCAUAAACUAUGCCGACUAGGGAUCGGACGAUGUUAUUUUUUGACGCGUUCGGCACCUUACGAGAAAUCAAAGUGCUUGGGCUCCAGGGGGAG